rnacentral:rRNA from 1 species
CUCAUUAAAUCAGUUAUAGUUUAUUUGAUGGUCUCUUUUGUCUUUUUUUACCUACUUGGAUAACCGUGGUAAUUCUGGAGCUAAUACAUGCGCAAGGUCCCGAGCGCGGGGGGCAGGGCUUCACGGUCCUGUUCUCGCAUGCGCAGAGGGAUGUAUUUAUUAGGUUAAAAACCAGCGGUAGGCCAGCAAUUGGUCUAUCACAACACUCCUGGUGAUUCAUAGUAACUCUUUCGGAUCGCAUUCAUG